CCCCGUGUGGCUCAGUUGGUAGAGCAUGGUGUUUGCAACGCCAGGGUUGUGGGUUCGAUUCCCACGGGGG
rfam:Salmo salar isolate Sally breed double haploid chromosome ssa03, whole genome shotgun sequence.